UGGGUUAGCCCUAAGUCAAACCUAUUCAAUUUUGCCCAAGUUUAUAGAAAAACGUAUCAACAUCUAAAAUAUCAAAUUAGUUGCAUUUAAUCCAUUGUGGAUUUAAUGAAACUAAUUUGAUGUUGUAAAUGUUGCUAUGUUUUUCUAUAAACAUGAUCAAACUUGAAUGGGUUCGACUUAGGACAAACCUAA
rfam:Oryza brachyantha chromosome 8, whole genome shotgun sequence.